UGGGGAAUAUUGCGCAAUGGGGGAAACCCUGACGCAGCAACGCCGUGUGCGGGAUGAAGGCCUUCGGGUUGUAAACCGCUUUCAGCAGGGAAGACUUCGACGGUACCUGCAGAAGAAGCCCCGGCUAACUACGUGCCAGCAGCCGCGGUAAUACGUAGGGGGCAAGCGUUAUCCGGAUUCAUUGGGCGUAAAGCGCGCGCAGGCGGAUUCGUAAGCGAGACCUUUAAUCUUGGGGCUCAACCUCAAGUCGGGUUUCGAACUGCGAGUCUCGAGUGUGGUAGGGGAGAGCGGAAUUCCCGGUGUAGCGGUGGAAUGCGCAGAUAUCGGGAAGAACACCGAUGGCGAAGGCAGCUCUCUGGGCCAUUACUGACGCUCAGGCGCGAAAGCUGGGGGAGCAAACAGG
rnacentral:rRNA from 1 species